GCAUCCGUAGCUUAAUGAAAAGCGACAGUCUCCAAAACUGUUAGUUCCGUGUUCAAGCCGCGGCGGAUGUG
rnacentral:tRNA from 1 species